UUUCAUUUUAAGCAUCAAUGUACCUCCAUCCUGGCAGUAUUGUUUAUGUGUUAUUGAUAGGGGAACUAAAUAGUAACCAGAUUAAUAGAAACUAGGAGAUCUUUAGGUACAUAAGUUCAUCUUUUCAAAAUUUUUGUAAUGUUUGCAGUUUAAGAUGACCAUUCCUGAGAAACAGGCAGCUUCUUAGAAUGAAAAAGCAUUUCCUCUGAACCAUACUUAAUUUUUAUUUCGUAGACAGCAGGAAGGGUAAUCACACAUCACACAUUUGGGGACGUCAAAGAGAAAAUGUAACUUUCUGGGCGCACACCCACCCAUCUCCCCCUGCCCUUUUCACUGUCCCAUUCUCCCUGGAAGGCUCUUUCUUAUCUUCUGCUCAUGGCUCCAGUAACUCUUUCUUCCUCCUCGUCCCUCAGCUGGUAAGGUUACUUUUCUACUUUGAACAAGCAAACAAGCCAACAGAAGAGAAGUUUCACAAGCAACUCCCAGCACAUCCGCUUGCCUUCUGAUGUCUGUGACCUCACUCUCGCUGCCCCGCCUCUUAUUACAGAUUGAACAGGGUUCAGGGGGAAUGACAAGCCUGUCCCAUCGGCCAUCCUGUGUGUCAUAUCCUGGGACCCAGUGGAUGCUCAGCAUCCUCCAGCUGAAGAAGAAGAUUGUCUUAGACACAUGAAAGGUGAGGAUGCCUACUGUCCCCACGGAACCCAGGUGGAGCUGGGAGUCUGCUGUUUGUACAGUCAGUGGGCCCGCGUUGCUUUGGGCAUCCCUGUGCCUGAAUUCCUGCAGUACACUUGGUGAUGAGUGAACUUGGUUUCUGUGUGUCAGUCCAAAUUCCUCGGAAAGAUGCUCUAUCUCCCUCUGGACCUGUUGUCCAACCCAUCGGUUGUAGCCAGACGAGCGAGUCCCUCUGGGACAAGUGGAGGGGCUCUGCCCAGCCCCCCAGCCACCACUGUGGGAGCAUAUAGCUCUCCGAGGAGGAGGUACUGGCUGUGACGGUGUCAGUAAGUGUGAAUUUAAGUCUCCUCUUGCCCAACUUGAUCCUCCUAAACAAAGAUGAAAAUUAAACACUCCCGGGAUUUGUGUCAUGGAACACUCAGGGUGGGGGCUAAGGGGGCUACAGUGACUCCCCAACGAGAGCCU